GACGACCCGUGCGAACGUUAUUCGGCUUUAUUGGGCUUAAAGAGUGCGUAGGUGGCAGUGUAAGUCGGGGGUGAAAUACUAUCGGCUCAACCGUGGAAUUGCCUUCGAUACUGCAUUGCUUGAGGGGGAUAGGGGCAAGUGGAACUUCCGGUGGAGCGGUGAAAUGUGUUGAGAUCGGAAGGAACGCCAGUGGCGAAGGCAGCUCGCUGGGACGUAACUGACGCUGAGACGCGAAGGCCAGGGGAGCAAACGGG
rnacentral:rRNA from 1 species